GCAAGCGUCAUCAAAAGGCGCCGCCUAGCGCUAUGCUAAGUGUUUAUUUAUUUAGCGCAAAUUUGAAUACUCACACUGUAAACAGAUCGUAAUGGAAGUAAACAAGGACGAAGCGAAACGGUGCAUUGAUAUCGCAGUCAACGCUAUAAAGAGUAACGAGGUUGACAAAGCGAUACGCUUUUUAGAAAAAGCCCAGAGAUUGUUUCCGACGGACAGGGCAGAAGCAUUGUUGGAGUCUCUGCAGCAGAAUGGCCAUGCAUCCAGUUCAGAAGGAGACAACAUGGGUCCUGAGGAAAACCAGUCCAGUGCUAAUAACCAUAGUGCUGCAGAGGAGAAGAGAUCUGAAUCCGCCAAAGCAUACACUACAGAACAAGCAGAUGCUGUAAAAAGAAUAAAACAAUGCAAAAACUACUAUGAGAUUCUCGGGGUGCAGAAAGAUGCAUCAGACGAGGACCUUAAAAAGUCGUAUAGGAAACUGGCGCUGAAGUUUCACCCCGAUAAGAACCACGCACCUGGGGCUACUGAAGCUUUUAAAGCUAUCGGGAACGCGUACGCCGUGUUGUCGAACCCGGAGAAGAGGCGUCACUAUGAUCAGUACGGAGAGGUGAAGAGCUGCGCUGGCAGACGAAGACACUCCCAGCGAGACUUCCAGCCUGAUAUCUCCCCAGAGGAUCUAUUUAACAUGUUCUUCGGAGGAGGAUUUCCCUCUAGUAAUGUUCACAUGUACAGCAACGGCAGAAUGCACUUCAGCCAGCGGCAUGGCGCAAGACGGGAAGAAAGAGGUGGUGGCUUGGCGCUCUUCGUCCAGCUCAUGCCCAUCAUCAUCCUUGUUAUUGUGUCCACACUCAGCCAGAUGAUGGUGACUGAACCGCCCUACAGCCUCAACUACAGACCUUCUGCAGGUCACACACAGAAGCGGCUGACCGAGACCCUGCGUGUGCCGUACUACGUGAGCGAGCGCUUCAGUCAGGAGUACAGCGGCGUGAACCUGAGGCAGGUGGAGCGCAACGUAGAGGACGAUUACAUCUCCGCCCUUCGAAACAACUGCUGGAAGGAGAAACAACACAAGGAGGGUUUGCUGUACCGUGCACGCUAUUUCGGUGACAGUGACCUAUAUCAGAGAGCUCAGAGAAUGAGCACGCCCAGCUGCUCCAGACUGGCCGAGGUUCAGAGUUAAAGCCACCGCUAAACCAGCGUGAUCCGGACAGGUGAGGACGACAGAUUUGUGAUGCUGAUUGUCUAGGUAUAACACUGAAUCUUCCCAUAAAAGCGGUGGCAAACCGGUGACGUUCAGCCAAGGAGAGAUUUCUAUGUGUGUGUGUGUUAUGUGAAAGUGUGUGUGAGAAACAGACAGAGAGAAAUGUAUGUUAGUGAAGGAUCAUCUUGUAAGGGUUUGUAAAGGAAAGGCUCUUCCUUCAGUCCUUUCCAGACCUGAACUACAACCUCAGUUAAGAAAUGAUCCGAUCUUUUACCUUUUUAUCGAUCUGAAAAGCGUUUCAAAAUCCCAUCAGGCUGAAACCCGCGUAGGAACUUCUGCAUAUUUUUUAUUCGGAUCCAUAUAGACCACGAUCUAGUCACUUUGUAUUAAUUUAUUAAUUUAUAUAAUUGUACAUUUGAGAUUUAGCUAUGCAGGAUUUUAUCGAUUAGGUCACAGUUGAAAUAAGCAUUAAUAUAAAGCGAACAUUAAUAAAUACUCUUUUAUCAUCUCUAGACUUUACACUGCUCUGUAGUAUUUAUUUAAGGAUCAGGACUUCUUUCUUUUUUUUUUAAGUAUGAUAUUAUGUAUGUUUUUAAAUUUUGCAAUGCUGACUAAACAUCUGUAGCUGUGCUUCUCCUCUGGAUUAUAACAGAACAAUAAAAUCUGAUGUGCCACAUUUCAGCCGUACAAGUUGGU